CGUUGGUUUUUCUGAAAAGAGUAAAGAACCUGAAUAUAGAGGUGUACGUCUCACAUGCCAUCGGUUAUAAGGGCCUGUGCUGAAACUAACAUAGAAUGGCAGACAGACAGACUUAAGUUGUUGGGUACAAAAACACUAAACAUAUGUUGCCACCCCUAGUGCGAGUGCGAAGAUAUGAUAUUACAAUGAAACCGCACGGAGACUAACUGUUAAGUGCGAAUGAAAGCCAAUGAUUUUUCUGUAUUGAAGGAAAGAAAAGUAGUUGAUAAGAAACAUACAUACUGCUUCCAACGCUCAAUCUUUUUCGUACUUAGUGAUUGCGUAUGUUAGAGAGUAUUUGUGCCGCUAGGGCAUUCAACAAAGAGAAACCGCGAAAUCACCCGCAAAUAUAAGCGAGUUGCGUAAAAGAGUAUUUGCCAUUCGUGCUCAUUCACCAUUUUCGUUGGCACGUUAGACUGCGAUAGCAGAUACUUAUGGGACAGUGCCAACCCAACAAUGAUGUCGUAGCGAUGUGUUUACUGCACGAAAUUCCAAUGGAACGCCUACAAGAAGUUACAUAUCAUAUUUCCAAUUGUUCCGUGCCACUACUCAGUCUUUUUAGUAAAUGAAAGUGAACAACGGUUAGCAUUCCUUUUUCAUAUCAGCUUGUUGAUAAUGUUUAGACUUAUUGACUCCCCUUUAUUUCCAACGUAUGCUAAAGUGUUUGAUUCCAUUUCAUGGCGCUUUGCACAGGAAAUCGCGUAGUAGUUCCAGAAAUUCCAUUCAUGCUUUUGAAUGCAACUUGCACUUCCCGUCCUGCAAGAAUUCAAGCCAGCACAUCCAGCUGGAACAGUCAGUACUUGUGUUAACUCCGUACGUGCGAUUUCAAAACGGUGCGCGCGCCCCACAGCAUGCUUUAUCGUACAUUUGCACACACGGCUCCAAAAAUGCCUAAAACAACCGGUCGUGUUAUAUGAUUAUGAGGCGGGCGUUUGUGUUUGUUGCGACAAUCGUUGCACUUGGAUUUAAUCUGCCACAAACAAUAAGUCAAAACCAGUGAAAAAAAUUAGUAACAGCAGCCAGGAGCGUCUUAUUGUUAGCUCAUUAAAACCCCAUAUGGUUUGAAUUUUGAUUCCUUAACUGUAAAAAUGUUUGCGGAACUCAUAUUGACAGUAAUUUUGGCUCUAUUUCAAUAUUGUUGUAAUGAUAAAAUACCUUCAAAUAUAUAAAAUAUCAUAGCUUGUAGGUCAAUGUAGCGACCUACCGUUUAAAGCUUCAUUAAUAGAUAUUUUUUUAUUUUAUGAAAAUCUAAAUCAAUUAAAAUUCAGAAUAACGCGUUCAAAUGUUUCAUCUAACAGUAAAACUAGGCCAAUACACCCUUCCUUGUGUGCCGACGGACAUAUUCCGUACACAUAUCUACAACAGACAUAUACAUAAAUAUGUAGACAAAGGGCAGUGUUUUGAGGAAAGCACGAUUUUGAAUAAGUUUUAUGAAGGGCUGAAGUGGUAAUAUACAGUUAGAAGACCGAAAAAAGCGAAUUUUCCAAAUUUUUUUCUGAGAAAACUUUUAAAUUUAUUGAUUCAAAAAUUUGUACACAUAUUACGGUAUUAUUUAACUGUAUUUUAAGACUUAGUAUUAGUAAAAAUAAUUAUUUGGAAAGGAACUACAGAUGCUUCCCGGAAGCUCCUCUCAAAAAUACAUUUUGCGGUGAUCGUUAUGUCUCUGAACUGAAUCCUCUGAAAUUAUAAAACCAAACAGAUUUCGUUAAAGUAAUGCUAAAUCUAGUAAUUGAUAGAGAGAAUAAGCAAACUAGAAUUUUUUGACAAAAAAUCUCAAAAAAAAUCGAUUUUUUAUAAAAAUUUCGGCCGUAUGUUUAUAAAAAAAUUAAUAUCGGAGAGAAAAAAUAUUCGAUUUAUUACUAAAAAAUAUAUUUAAGAAGCCCGUAUUUUAGACUCAUCGCUUUAGCCGUUUUCGAGUAAUAUUGGUCACCGUCUUUGAAAACACGCGCUUAAAGUUUGAAAUACACUUCCAAGCACUCUGAAACGCCUUUUCGAACGUGUGUGUAACUUCGAAAAUAUUCACCUGAACGAUAUGAAAUUUUCUGUGUGUAUUCUUAAUGUAGAAUAUGUAGAUUAAGAAAAUAAAAAACCCGUUUUUCUCAAAACUUUCUUUCUCAAAACGAUACUGAUGAUUCUCAAGUUCUACUUGGCAGAUUUACCUGCGAUUUUUAGACAGACUUCUUUGUACACUUGUCUAUGUCUAGUAAUAUCCAUAACCACGAAUUUGAAUUUUUACUAUUUUUUAAAAAUUCAAAGCCGUCAAAAAAGUGGCGCAGAAAUUAUUUUUUUUUUUUUAAACAUCCAAAUUCUCCAUACUUCCCUACAUUGCAACAUUAUUCUAGAUUAUUAAUGUUUUUUUUUUGUUUCAGAUUAGCAUAGUAGAAAUCGUGUGUAGGGUCACGUUCCAAUUUAUUGAGAUGGCCCACUUUAUUAGCUGCUAAUAUUUGUAAUAUUUAAUUUUUUUUGAAUUGUUUGACUUUUUCUGUAUUUUUGUAAAGUUAAUAAAUAACUUAUAAAAAUUUUAGAGCAAAAUUAGCAGUUACUUUUUUAUGACACUUCCAAAAUAACCUGAAAUUUGUGGUAUUCUACCACUUAAAGCAGGAGCGGAACCACCGGAGGUUUUCGGUGUCAAAAUUUACAGAAUUUCCAACUUCUGUCUUCUUUCUUUCUAAAGCAGGUCUUAACAUAUUUUUAAACAUUAACAUACUGCUACUACUUAUCAAUUUCUUAGGAUUAGGUAUAUGUAUUUGUUGUUCAAGCAAAAUCGGUUAUCAAAAAUAAUGAAAAAAAAUGUUUUGAAAUUAUUAAAAUUCUUGAAACGCCAAUUAGUCGACCUGUUUUAAUUGCGACGAAUUCUUCAUAAAAUAAAAUGUAAAGCAAAAAUAAUUAUAACAGCGCAAACAUAAGAAAUUAGCUAUACCCGCGCACCGCGAGCAGUUUGAACUCGUUUGACAACAACAAUAUAGAACUUUUUUCACUGCCAAAGAAGCGCCAACCAGUUCUCGAUCUACUUAUGUAUGUAUCAGCACACAUGCAUACAUAUAACUUAAUUGCUGUUUCUAGGCAUUUGGUGCUCUCUCCGGUGAAGUUGACUGAGUCCUUGCGAUUUUGCAUGCCACACACUGACUGCUUUAGUUCUGCAGAAGAUGGUUUGUUUGUAUGUAAUUUUCGGUUUUACAAGAAGAAUGCAAAAUGCGUUAAGUAAACCAUUGUCGUUAAGGGCAGAGAGCAUUUGUGCGCCAAAAAAUAAGCAGAAAAGACAAGACAAAUGUAGCUUCACCCCUUUUUUUCGUUGAAGAGCAGCAACUGCUAGCAGACACUAAAUAUCUGGCCGUUUUUAUUCAUUUAAGCCGCCCAACGAUCGUUGUGACAGCACCCAAAGGCAAAUUAGGCGCUAAAGAAGAGCUACGACACACCCUUAAGAUGUUCAGUUGAGCAGCAAGCGGCAGAGGAUGAAGGCGACGAAGAAGCCGAGGAAGCAUGUGUUAUGUGAUUUUGCAUUUUUUUUUAAUUUGAAUUUGCAAAACUGUUCGUUACUUUUACUUUCUUUGAAUAAAUAUUCGUUCUCGUU